rnacentral:rRNA from 1 species
UAACUGGAGGAAGGUGGGGAUGACGUCAAAUCAUCAUGCCCCUUAUGACCUGGGCUACACACGUGCUACAAUGGACAGAACAAAGGGCAGCGAAACCGCGAGGUUAAGCCAAUCCCACAAAUCUGUUCUCAGUUCGGAUCGCAGUCUGCAACUCGACUGCGUGAAGCUGGAAUCGCUAGUAAUCGCGGAUCAGCAUGCCGCGGUGAAUACGUUCCCGGGCCUUGUACACACCGCCCGUCACACCACGAGAGUUUGUAACACCCGAAGUCGGUGAGGUAACCUUUUAGGAGCCAGCCGCCGAAGGUGGGACAGAUGAUGGGGUGAAGUCGUAA